rnacentral:rRNA from 1 species
AUUGAACGCUGGCGGCAUGCUUUACACAUGCAAGUCGAACGGCAGCACGGGGGCGAACCCUGGUGGCGAGUGGCGAACGGGUGAGUAAUACAUAGGAACGUGUCCUGAAAUGGGGAUAGCUCGGCGAAAGCCGGAUUAAUACCGCAUACGAUCCACGGAUGAAAGCAGGGGAUUCGCAAGAACCUUGCGUUUCUGGAGCGGCCUAUGUCUGAUUAGCUAGUUGGCGGGGUAAAGCCACCAAGGCGACGAUCAGUAGCUGGUCUGAGAGGAUGAUCAGCCACACUGGGACUGAGACACGGCCCAGACUCCUACGGGAGGCAGCAGUGGGAAUUUUGGACAAUGGGGCAACCUGAUCCAGCCAUGCCGCGUGAGUGAAGAA